rnacentral:rRNA from 1 species
AGGUAACACUGACUGGAGGACCGAACCCACUCCCGUUGAAAAGGUAGGGGAUGACUUGUGGAUCGGAGUGAAAGGCUAAUCAAGCUCGGAGAUAGCUGGUUCUCCUCGAAAGCUAUUUAGGUAGCGCCUCAUGUAUCACUCUGGGGGGUAGAGCACUGUUUCGGCUAGGGGGUCAUCCCGACUUACCAAACCGAUGCAAACUCCGAAUACCCAGAAGUGCCGAGCAUGGGAGACACACGGCGGGUGCUAACGUCCGUCGUGAAAAGGGAAACAACCCAGACCGCCAGCUAAGGUCCCAAAGUUGUGGUUAAGUGGUAAACGAUGUGGGAAGGCUUAGACAGCUAGGAGGUUGGCUUAGAAGCAGCCAUCCUUUAAAGAAAGCGUAAUAGCUCACUAGUCGAGUCGGCCUGCGCGGAAGAUGUAACGGGGCUCAAACCACACACCGAAGCUGCGGGUGUCACGCAAGUGACGCGGUAGAGGAGCGUUCUGUAAGCCUGUGAAGGUGAGUUGAGAAGCUUGCUGGAGGUAUCAGAAGUGCGAAUGCUGACAUGAGUAACGACAAUGGGUGUGAAAAACAUCCACGCCGAAAGACCAAGGGUUCCUGCGCAACGUUAAUCGACGCAGGGUUAGUCGGUUCCUAAGGCGAGGCUGAAAAGCGUAGUCGAUGGGAAACAGGUUAAUAUUCCUGUACUUCUGGUUACUGCGAUGGAGGGACGGAGAAGGCUAGGCCAGCUUGGCGUUGGUUGUCCAAGUUUAAGGUGGUAGGCUGAAAUCUUAGGUAAAUCCGGGGUUUCAAGGCCGAGAGCUGAUGACGAGUCGUCUUUUAGAUGACGAAGUGGUUGAUGCCAUGCUUCCAAGAAAAGCUUCUAAGCUUCAGGUAACCAGGAACCGUACCCCAAACCGACACAGGUGGUCGGGUAGAGAAUACCAAGGCGCUUGAGAGAACUCGGGUGAAGGAACUAGGCAAAAUGGCACCGUAACUUCGGGAGAAGGUGCGCCGGCUAGGGUGAAGGAUUUACUCCGUAAGCUCUGGCUGGUCGAAGAUACCAGGCCGCUGCGACUGUUUAUUAAAAACACAGCACUCUGCAAACACGAAAGUGGACGUAUAGGGUGUGACGCCUGCCCGGUGCCGGAAGGUUAAUUGAUGGGGUUAGCGCAAGCGAAGCUCUUGAUCGAAGCCCCGGUAAACGGCGGCCGUAACUAUAACGGUCCUAAGGUAGCGAAAUUCCUUGUCGGGUAAGUUCCGACCUGCACGAAUGGCGUAACGAUGGCGGCGCUGUCUCCACCCGAGACUCAGUGAAAUUGAAAUCGCUGUGAAGAUGCAGUGUAUCCGCGGCUAGACGGAAAGACCCCGUGAACCUUUACUGUAGCUUUGCACUGGACUUUGAGCCUGCUUGUGUAGGAUAGGUGGGAGGCUUUGAAGCGUGGACGCCAGUUCGCGUGGAGCCAUCCUUGAAAUACCACCCUGGCAUGCUUGAGGUUCUAACUCUGGUCCGUGAUCCGGAUCGAGGACAGUGUAUGGUGGGCAGUUUGACUGGGGCGGUCUCCUCCUAAAGAGUAACGGAGGAGUACGAAGGUGCGCUCAGACCGGUCGGAAAUCGGUCGCAGAGUAUAAAGGCAAAAGCGCGCUUGACUGCGAGACAGACACGUCGAGCAGGUACGAAAGUAGGUCUUAGUGAUCCGGUGGUUCUGUAUGGAAG